AUGGAAGGGUUGCAGAGAUCGUCCUCCACUUUCAGAAGGUCCGGCUCGUCGGGCCUGGUGUGGGACGAGCGGUUCCUGACCGAGGGCGCCGAGGCGAAGGCCGCCGGCGAGGGCGGCACGGAUGAAGCCCAGCCGGAGAUGCGGCGCUCCCGGAGCACCGGCGGCGUCGGGAUGAUGCUGCGCCGUGGCGGCGACGACAAGAAGCAGCAGCAGCAGAAAAAGGAGCAGCAAGGCCAGAAGAAGAAGGACGAGGAGCGCGAUCCCCAGGUGUUCCGGACCAAGGAGGUGGCCCCGGACGUGGACCCGCCGUCGCCGAGGGUGUCCGGCUGCAUCCUCUGCGCCAUCUUCGGGGGCUCCGGCUCCGGCUCUGGCCCGGCGGCGCGCCGAGGCCGCGCCAAGCCGAAGAGGAGGCAACGGUCGGCGGCGUAA
rnacentral:rRNA from 1 species